rnacentral:rRNA from 1 species
CAGUAGCCGCGGGAAUACGUAGGUGGCAAGCGUUGUCCGGAAUUGUUGGGCGUAAAGGGCUCGCAGGCGGUUUCUUAAGUCUGAUGUGAAAGCCCCCGGCUCAACCGGGGAGGGUCAUUGGAAACUGGGAAACUUGAGUGCAGAAGAGGAGAGUGGAAUUCCACGUGUAGCGGUGAAAUGCGUAGAGAUGUGGAGGAACACCAGUGGCGAAGGCGACUCUCUGGUCUGUAACUGACGCUGAGGAGCGAAAGCGUGGGGAGCGAACAGGAUUAGAUACCCCUGUAGUCCCUGUCUCUUAUCC